AUUAUUUUUCUUAUUCUUUUUAAUCUCAGCCAUGGAUCAAGAUCGAUCCAAUGGUUGAGAUCAACCCACUCUACUCUUUCCAUUUAUACCAACAUAAACCCUAAUCCUAUUUUUGAAAAAAAAAUCAACAUCAGCCGCCACCAAUCUCCACCUUCUCUCUUCUUUCUCUAUUUAAAAACCAGCAACCAUUGCUCCCUCUGUCAACCACCAACCACCAACCACCAACCACCGUACAAAACUAGCCACCGCCGACCAAGCCAACACCCUCGCUGCCCAACCUUCUUCUCUCUUCCUCCAUCUUCUCUUCAUUCUCUUCCCGUUACUGCCAUUCCAGCCGACCAAUGCGCAUAAGCGACUAGCCACUGGUAAAAGCCCGAAUCAGCACUGCCACCGGUGAAAUUGCACUAGCCGUGCCACCCUACCUCUUUUCCCUCAUCUUCAUCAUUAUCCCCGCUCCAGCUGUCACUGCCACGUCGACUCAAGCCCACCGGCAAAAUCAAGACAACUACCGGUAAGCCGCCGUCAUGUCCGAACCCCAUGCAACAAACCACUGUCACCGCCGAGCUCUGGUCAAACAUCGUUGGAAAACACUACAUUCUUGAUGGAUUUUUUUUGAAUUCGUCCCAGGUCCUAGCCUAAGUGUGCUUCAACUUGCUAAACUCGGCCGAUUAUUGGAGCUUCCAAAGUAGAGGUUUGACAUUCAUGCGUCCAGAGUUCACUUCUAUCUUUCUAUAUUAGUUAUGUUUUUUAUUAGUGUUCGAAGAUAGAUAUUUUCUUUCCUGGUUAUUUUUCUGAUGUAUUUGACUCCGAGAUUGUAUUAGUAGUUCUUAUAUUAUUGACACCAGGUUUUGAGAGUUA